CUACGGGAGGCUCCAGUGGGGAAUAUUGGACAAUGGGGGGAACCCUGAUGCAGCAACGCCGCGUGGAGGAUGACGCAUUUCGGUGUGUAAACUCCUUUUAUAUGUCAAGAAAAUGACGGUAGCAUAUGAAUAAGCACCGGCUAACUCCGUGCCAGCAGCCGCGGUAAUACGGAGGGUGCAAGCGUUACUCGGAAUCACUGGCGUAAAGGACGCGUAGGCGGGUUGGAAAGUCAGGUGUGAAAUCCUACAGCUUAACUGUAGAACUGCACUUGAAACUUCUAAUCUAGAGUAUGGGAGGGGGAGAUGGAAUUAGUGGUGUAGGGGUAAAAUCCGUAGAUAUCACUAGGAAUACCUAAAGCGAAGGCGAUCUCCUGGAACAUUACUGACGCUAAGGCGUGAAAGCGUGGGGAGCAAACAGGAUUAGAUACCCUAGUAGUC
rnacentral:rRNA from 1 species